rnacentral:pre_miRNA from 1 species
CACAUACUCCUUCCAUCUCAAAAAAAUUGUCUUAAGUUUAUUUAAAUAUAAAUUUAUCUGAUCAUGUUUUAGUAUUUAGAUACAUUUAUUUUUAGAUAAACCUAAGACAAAUUUUUUGAAACGGAGGGAUUAUAAG